AUCUGAGACCAGAUUUGCACUUAUGUCUUCCUGACUCCAAGUCCAGCAAUUUAUCCACUGUGCCACCUAGCUGCCCUCUUGAGGAUAAGUGACCUUCCCAAUAUCACAUAGCAGAAUGUGCCAGGACCAAGGGAACAUAUCAUACCAGAAGCCAAGAACAAGGAUUAUUUCCCUUCUCUCAAAUUCAUAGAAACCUGACAUUUCUUCAGUUUUAUCAAACAAAAAAGAAGAGUCAGCUCAUCCUAUAUUCACAGAUUCCAGAUGUCACAUCAACUCAUAAG